rnacentral:rRNA from 1 species
GACCCCGUCGAAGUUAAGAAAUUCCCGCUAUAACGAGAAGUCCCUCUCAAUGUAAUUAAUUGUAAGUCGUGGGGAAAUAUGGUUGGUGAGUUUUAGCUGGGGCAGCUAAGGGGCAAGCCUAGACCCCUUUUAUCUUUAAACGGGUGCGUCACGAUCCACAGAAAUGAAUGUUGUGAUUAGCAGAAGGAGUUACUCCGGGGAUAACAGCGUAGUCCGCCUUGAUAGUUCGUAUAGAUGGGCGGGUUCGCGACCUCGAUGUUGGCUCUGGAUAUCCUGAAGCUUGCAGGCGGUUUCAAGGGUUGGUUCGUUCGCCCAUUAAAAUCC